UUUAAAGGGUUAUAUUUCUCUUUGGUGU
rnacentral:piRNA from 2 species